CUUUAUUGUACGUAAAUUCUAACCCACUUUAAAAAAAUUCUCUAAAAUAGUCCCCCAUUUCACUCAGAGUAUAAGCAAAUCCUGAAGAAGACCUACACGACCCCUCUUACUAUUCACCCCCCUCAUUCUCACCCCAGGUGAGCCACCCUGGCUUUUCUGCUCCAAUACAGCCACUCAAAGCAUGGCCAGGACUGGGCAUGGGAUCAGUCUGUGAAUUAUUUUCAGUUCUUAGACAAGUACGGUAUCCGAGAGUAAGCAGUUAGAAAAUUUAUCAGCAAUUGACAUCACUGUAAUAUACAAGAACAUGGCCCAUUUUCUAGUAAUUCACUGUUAAUAUAUUUUACAAAAGUACAGGAGCUUGACUACUGGGAUUAAAAAAGUUAUUCAGAAGAGUCAGACUAACUGUGACAAAGUUAUAGGAAACAUUUUUUUCCUCUUUAUGUAUGCAUAAGAGUGAUGUGAUACUGUCUACGUAAGUCUAAAAGUCUUUCCAUAAGUAGACAAUAAAAAUUCCAAGUGAUAAAGGUUUUGUUCAAGGAAUACUAAAACAGGAACACCAGAAAAAUAAGUACUGUUUUCUUUUUUGUUGUUGUUACUAUUAAUAUGUACCAUACUUGUAAAAACAAAUUGUCCACUUCUGGAGAUACCCAUGGUUUACUCAGCAGAGGACUGAAUCAAUAGCCUUAAACAUAAAUCAAAAGCUAAAGAAAAUGGGCUUUGGAAAUAUUUGAACAUUGGUGUUUAAGAAUUACAAAGAAGUAGCAAGCUUAGCACUGGCAACUCUUUAUUAAUCAGUCUAUUUGUCUUAAGGGGGAAAAGAGACUAUAGAUCAAAAAAUUUUUACCCUGGAGGUCUUUCAAUAAAG
rnacentral:lncRNA from 10 species